rnacentral:rRNA from 1 species
CGGACCGGCGCACGGGUGAGUAACACGUAUGGAACCUGCCCUAUGCAGGGGGAUAAGCGGAAGAAAUUCCGUCUAAUACCGCAUAACACCUUUAGGAGACAUCUUCUUGGGGUCAAAGGAGGCGACUCCGGCAUAGGAUGGCCAUGCGUCGCAUUAGCUAGUCGGCGGGGUAACGGCCCACCGAGGCGACGAUGCGUAGGGGUUCUGAGAGGAAGGUCCCCCACACUGGUACUGAGACACGGCCCAGACUCCUACGGGAGGCAGCAG